rnacentral:rRNA from 1 species
AUGCCGCUUGUGGAAUCGCCUCAAUGGCGCCGGAAGGCCACCGAUUUCUUCUCUUCAUCUAGCUUCAAGCUGAAGCAGGCAGGGCAAUCUGCAGGGGAUAAUAUAGCUGAUGUUGCCGGUAAGGUUGGAACAGUGGUGAAGAGUCGGUGGGCUAUCUUCCAGGAUGCUAGACAGCGACCGCCACCACCAGGAGAUACUGUGCAGGAGCGCUUCAUCUCUGCUGCUGCCAACACUGGAGUGAUUCUGAGGAAGGGCAUUUCAGAGACAAAGGAGAAGGUCGCGGUGGGAAAGGUCAAAGUUGAAGAGGCUGCCAAAAAAACUGCGGACAAAAGCAAAACUAUUUUGAACAAUAUUGAACGCUGGCAGAAGGGAGUUGCGAGCAAUGACGUUUUUGGUGUUCCUGUUGAAGCCACUGUACAACGGGAGCAAUCUGGUAAAGCUGUGCCUCUGAUACUGGUGAGGUGUGCAGACCACUUGGUUAUAUCAGGCUUGAGUAAUGAGUACUUGUUCAAAUCUGAAGGCGGCAGAAAAGUUCUUCAGCAACUAGUUUCACUUUACAAUGAGGAUUCGGGUGCAUCUUUGCCUGAUGGUGUUAGCCCUAUUGAUGUAGCUGCACUGAUCAAGUGCUACCUUGCCAGCAUCCCCGAACCACUUACAACAUUUGCUCUUUAUGAUGAGCUUAAAGAUGCGAGGGUUAGCAUUGAUGAUCUUAAGAACAUACUGAAGAAGCUUCCAAAUGUGAACUACAUGACACUAGAAUUUGUUACAGCAUUGCUACUAAGAGUAAGCCGUAAAUCAGCACUCAACAAGAUGGACUCUUGUACCCUUGCUGUGGAGUUCGCACCUUUGAUCAUAUGGCAGCAAGGGGAUUCUGGAACAGAUUUGCGGAAUCAUCUCAGAUUCACACUGAAACCACCUCCAAAAAUUGUGGACACGACGACAAGUACCACUACAUGGGACUUGCUAGAUGAGGAUGAUGUGGAUGCUUCGUCGCAAAUCCCCUUGGACGAUGGUUCGCCUCCAGACUAUGGUGCUAUUGAGGUGAUCCAGUGCUUGAUUGAGCAUCACAAUCCCAUAUUCACGGAUGCAAACGAGACUGUAUGGAGAUGA